rnacentral:rRNA from 1 species
AUUGAACGCUGGCGGCAGGCCUAACACAUGCAAGUCGAGCGGAUGACGGGAGCUUGCUCCUUGAUUCAGCGGCGGACGGGUGAGUAAUGCCUAGGAAUCUGCCUGAUAGUGGGGGACAACGUGCCGAAAGGAACGCUAAUACCGCAUACGUCCUACGGGAGAAAGCAGGGGACCUUCGGGCCUUGCGCUAUCAGAGGAGCCUAGGUCGGAUUAGCUAGUUGGUGGGGUAAUGGCUCACCAAGGCGACGAUCCGUAACUGGUCUGAGAGGAUGAUCAGUCACACUGGAACUGAGACACGGUCCAGACUCUUACGGGAGGCAGCAGUGGGGAAUAUUGGACAAUGGGCGAAAGCCUGAUCCAGCCAUGCCGCGUGUGUGAAGAAGGUCUUCGGAUUGUAAAGCACUUUAAGUUGGGAGGAAGGGCAGUAAGCUAAUACCUUGCUGUUUUGACGUUACCGACAGAAUAAGCACCGGCUAACUCUGUGCCAGCCGCCGCAGUAAGAC